UACAGAGGUCUCAAGCGUUGUUCGGAUUCACUGGGCGUAAAGGGUGCGUAGGUGGUCGGGUAAGUCCGAUGUGAAAUCUCCAGGCUUAACCUGGAAAUGGCAUUGGAUACUAUUCGGCUGGAGGAGUGGGAGGGGGGACUGGAAUUCUCGGUGUAGCAGUGAAAUGCGUAGAUAUCGAGAGGAACACCAGUGGCGAAGGCGAGUCCCUGGACACUCCUGACACUGAGGCACGAAAGCUAGGGGAGCAAACAGG
rnacentral:rRNA from 1 species